UACGUAGGGUGCGAGCGUUGUCCGGAAUUAUUGGGCGUAAAGAGCUCGUAGGCGGUUUGUCGCGUCUGCUGUGAAAACCUCAGGCUCAACCUGGGGCUUGCAGUGGGUACGGGCAGACUAGAGUGCGGUAGGGGUGACUGGAAUUCCUGGUGUAGCGGUGGAAUGCGCAGAUAUCAGGAGGAACACCGAUGGCGAAGGCAGGUCACUGGGCCGCAACUGACGCUGAGGAGCGAAAGCAUGGGGAGCGAACAGG
rnacentral:rRNA from 1 species